GGCACUGUCAGCAUCACCCUGUGAAUUUGCAUCACCAAAAUACCAUGAUCAGCAUGUAAGUUUGGCGUAAAACAAGAAGCAAGGUUAAAAAAUAGAUAUAGAAUAAUGAAUUACUUGGACUAGGAGUAUUGCACAAUAUUUGAAAGUGUAAUAAAUAAAAGCAACAAUAACCAGUAAGUCUUAAACCAAAAGCUAGAUCAGUGCCAACCAUUGUAAAAUCAUGCCUAACGAUCCAGAUCAUUUAUCAAGCUUAAGUACAAUUAAGCAUUUCAUAACCAUGAGAAAAAUAUGAUACAAAUAAACAGUUCACUACUCUCUGCAAGUGCAUUUCAAAGUCUGCAUACCAUGCAUAAAAAUACGAUAACUCGAGCACCAUACCUUGCACAACUAUUUCUUUACCUUCUAAACCUACUUUACUUUUUAAAUUGCUUAAGGGACAUGGUUCAACUCACAUAACCUUUUACUUCCUUUUAUUUAAAAAAUAACUAAAUUUUGGUUAGUAUUCUACAAAAAAUAUGGACAAAAUUUAUUUAAUAACAAAAAAUAACUAUAUUAUUAAUUUUAUAAUAAAUAUAAUUAAUUAUAUGAUAAAA
rnacentral:misc_RNA from 1 species